rfam:Trichomonas vaginalis G3, whole genome shotgun sequence.
GAUUAAGCCAUGCAAGUGUUAGUUCAGGUAACGAAACUGCGAAUAGCUCAUUAAUACGCUCAGAAUCUAUUUGGCGGCGACCAACAGGUCUUAAAUGGAUAGCAGCAGCAACUCUGGUGCUAAUACAUGCGAUUGUUUCUCCAGAUGUGAAUUAUGGAGGAAAAGUUGACCUCAUCAGAGGCACGCCAUUCGACUGAGUGACCUAUCAGCUUGUACUUAGGGUCUUUACCUAGGUAGGCUAUCACGGGUAACGGGCGGUUACCGUCGGACUGCCGGAGAAGGCGCCUGAGAGAUAGCGACUAUAUCCACGGGUAGCAGCAGGCGCGAAACUUUCCCACUCGAGACUUUCGGAGGAGGUAAUGACCAGUUCCAUUGGUGCCUUUUGGUACUGUGGAUAGGGGUACGGUUUUCCACCGUACCGAAACCUAGCAGAGGGCCAGUCUGGUGCCAGCAGCUGCGGUAAUUCCAGCUCUGCGAGUUUGCUCCCAUAUUGUUGCAGUUAAAACGCCCGUAGUCUGAAUUGGCCAGCAAUGGUCGUACGUAUUUUUACGUUCACUGUGAACAAAUCAGGACGCUUAGAGUAUGGCCACAUGAAUGACUCAGCGCAGUAUGAAGUCUUUGUUUUCUUCCGAAAACAGCUCAAUGAGAGCCAUCGGGGGUAGAUCUAUCUCAUGACGAGUGGUGGAAUACUUUGACUCAUGAGAGAGAAGCUGAAGCGAAGGCGUCUACCUAGAGGGGUUCUGUCGAUCAAGGGCGAGAGUAGAGUAUCCACCGGGAUAGAGAACCCUGGUAAUUCUAACUUAAAACGAUGCCGACAGGAAUUUGUC